GUAAGUGCUUGCGUGGGGUUUGUUUCCUGCAAUGGUAGCAGCUAGCACACUGUGGUUAUCUUUUUUUCCCUAUUUUUGUCUCUUUAAGUAUAUGACAUUUUAUAUAUAUUAUGGAAUAAAAAAUACUUGCAUGUUGCAUAUGUGCUUAUACUAUAAAGCAUACCUGCCCUAACCAGUCCAAGAACUACUGGCUGGCUGAGCCAUCUCUCCAGCACAGAUUGGUUUUUUAAGAUGAUUUUACUAGCCCAAUAUUGUGGCUCAGUACCUAUCAUCCCAGCAGGUGAGAGGCUGAAGCAGGGGAAUUGCUGUGAGUUUAAUGUAAUGGGUUUAAAGGGAGAGACAGUUGUGGCUCUCAUGGACACUCCUCUGAUGUUUGUUUAUUUAUUUAUUUAGUUUUUUUUUUUUAAAGUCUAGAGUAUUGGGGCUGGAGAGAUGGCCCAGUGGUUAAGAGCACUGACUGCUCUUCCAGAGGUCCUGAGUUCAAUUCCCAGCAACCAUGUGGUGGCUCACAACCAUCUGCGAUGGGAUCUGAUGCCCUCUUCUGGUGUGUCUGAAGGGAAGGAUAGUGUACUCACAUAAAAUAGAUAAAUCUUAAAAAUAAAAGAAGAGAGUAUUUUUGUAGCUUGGCCUUUAAUCCCAGCAUUCAGAAGGCUGAGGCAGGUAGAUCUCUGAGUUUGAGGCCAGCAUACAAAGUGAGUUUCCAGAUAGACAGGGCUACACAGAGAAACUCUAUCUUGAAACUCUCUCUCCCCAGAGAACAGAAUAGUAUUUUUAAAUUACUGAUUUUAUUAACUUAUCAAUUAUGUAUUAAUGGGGCCAGUAAAAUAUUGCCACACAUACAUUCAAUAGACACUGAUUAGAUAUCACCACCCCCUUCUCUAGUUAUAUUUUAUUUUCAGAAUUUGGUGGGGAGAAGAUCUCACCAUGCAAUCUUGGAUAGCCUGGAACUUUGAUACAUAGCCCAGGCUGGCCUCAAGCUCACAGAGACUUUCCUGCCUCUGCCUCCCAAGGUCUGGGAUUAAAUGCAUGUGCCACUGUCCUCAGCCUUUUCAGGAUAGUUUUUAAAUUGUGUAUAUUAGGAACAUGUAAUACUUUGGAUAGUAUGGCAAAUAUAUUUCCUGGUGGGUUUCAGAGUUUUAUGUUUUUUAAACUUCAAAAAAGUAUAUUGCUUUUGUACACUUGUGAGAGGGGUGUGUGUGCGUGUACAUGCCAGGGCAGCUCUGUGGAGGUCAGAGAACAGCCUUGUGAGUUGGCUCCCACCUAUCUUUGCAUGGGUUCCAGUGAUUGAGUUAAAGUCAUCAGGCUUGUGCAGCAACUGCUGAGCCCUGAGCUAGUUUGCUAGCUUGUUAGAGUUGGGGUCUGAGCUGUGUAGACUGGCCUCAGAAUCACAGAGAUCUUUUUGAGUGUAUGAGAGCUCCAUCUCCUGCAUCCUUACCAGCGUUUUGUUUUAUAGUAGUCAUUCUAAGUGAAGUGAGAUGAUCUCUCAUUAUAUGAAUUAUGUGUAUGUCACUGAUGGCAAAUGAUAGCAGUGUGUUUUUGUGUUUGCUGAUCAUGUGUAUCUUGAGAAGUUCCUGUGCAGCUCAUUUGCCUCUUCUUUAUAAUGUUAAGGCCUGGCUUACUGUCGCCCCUUGCUGUUACUAAUAUUACAAGGAAACGUUCUCCUGCCAGGGUUGAUUGCAUAUUGUGUUAUGUUCUAUGCUUGGUGUUCUUGGGAACAAAUCCCAAUAGUGGUCAGUUAGAACUGCUUUGUUUAGUUAGCCACAAUAAAACUAGGACCCGAACCAACCACCCAGCAGCACCCCUUGUACCUGUGUAUGAGUUUUUAUGGUUUUUGCUUAUAAGCUGCCCCUGGGAUGCACCCCAACAUAAGAGAGACACCUGCAUCAAUAUAAGAAGCCGUUUGGAGUAAGACUUCAUUCUGAGUAAGAGUCAAGUAAAGUUUAAGUUUCUAAGACCUCCCUGGGAGCUGGCAUCCUGCUUGGCAGAGACAUGUAUGUGGGUAACUGACACCCUGGUUGUCGAGGUAAGACAUAAAUGCUAGGCAAGGCAAGUCCCCUGCCAUAGUUGACUACCCCAGCCAAUGGGAACAGGAUAAGUGUACCACAAAGACAUGUUCCUAAGGAAGUCCCCUGUCCCUGCAUCCUGAUUGGUGAAAUAACUUGGCACAGGUGUUUGUGGAUUUCAGGCUUAGAAGGUCUGUAGGAGUCUGGUCUGCAGCCCUAAUUGAUCAGCCCUGGAGCGAAUGCUCAAUAAACUAUGUCUGACUGAGUGCUGUGUACCUGUGGUUUAUGGGGCAAUUUCUGGACCCAAAUAAUUAAACCACUCAUUUGUUGUUGUUUGUUUGUUAUUUGAGACAAGGUUUCUCUGUGUAGCUCUGGCUGUCCUGGAACUCACUAUGUAGACCCGGCUGGCCUUGAACUCAGGGAUCUGCCUGCCUCUGCCUCCUGAGUGCUAAGAUUAAGACCACGUAGCACCACAGCACAGUGGACACCCAUUUUUAAGUUCCUUGUAUGUUCUGGUUGUUCACCAAGCCAAGUGAGUAGGUGACGCUUUCCCCAGUCUGAGGCUCUGUACUCAGCUGGUUCCUCUGCUGGCAGAAGCUUUGUAAUCGGAUGGAGCUUUGUCUCUUUCGGGUUUGUUCCCAGGACGUUUAGGAUCUUGCCCCUCAAAACAACCCCUUGCCUGUUGCAGAAUUGUGAAGCAUUGCCCUGGAGCUCCCUUCCACAGUCUGAGUUUCAGAUGUUAAAUGUUACCCAUGUUGCAUUUUGUGUAUAGAGAGACAGGUCUAGUUUCAUGCUCUGCAUCUAGAUUCUCAGCUGUCCCUGUACCAUUUAUCAGAGACUGUCCUUUGCCCACUGUCUGUCCUUAGCCUCUUCAUGAAAACCAGGGAGCAGUAGAGACAUGCUUAUAUUCCUAAGCUCUCUGUUUGGGUCCACUGAUCUGGUAUCUAUUUCUUGGUCAGUACUGUGCUGAUCUGAUUGCUGUAGUGUUUAGACUACUCUGUGGUAAUGUGAUAACUUUCUGUUGUCUUUUUUGUCCAAGAUUGCUUUGACUAUUUGGGUUUUGUCUGCUUGCUUCCUUGUUUAUGGGUCCAUAUGAAUCACUGACUUUCCCCCUACUUAUCUGAAGUUAUCCUUGGUAUUUUGAUAUGGAUUGCAUGAAAUCUGCGGUCAGUUUGGGUAGCAAGGGGACAGGUGAGUGACACUCCCAUUCCAUGAAUGUGGACAUGGGCCAUCUUUCAACUUUUCUGUGUUCUCUUUGAGUCUGUCACUGGUUUCUUAAGUUUUUUUGUAGUAGUCUUUCUCGUCUUUAAGUAAUUCCCAGGAUUUUGAUUUUAUAGCUGUUGUAAAUGAUAUUGUUUUCAUAUAGUUUGUCGUUGGUCUAUGAAAACAGUGAUUUUUUGUAUAUAGAUACUUUUGAUAGUCUUCCUUCCUUCUUUCUUUUUGUUUGUUUGUUUUGUUUUAGGGUUUUUUAUUUUGUUUUUGUUUUGUUGUUUUCAUUUGUUUGUUUCGAGACAGGGUUUCUCUGUAGCUGUCCUGGAACUCCCUCUAUAGACCAGGCUGGCCUGAACUCUCAGAAAGCCACAUUCCUCUCUCUUGUUUGUUGUUUGUUUUGAGAUAGGGUACUGGGUACACAUCGUACCCAGGCUGGCCUGGGCCUUCCAAGUGCUAAUCUGGGUCUGGCUCCAUUCUCCCAUGUUGAAGUUUAACUCUGUUCCCUACAGAUGGUGGAUGGUAGAAGACUUGGGUGUAGCCAUAGAAACGGGAAACAGUGGCGGUGAUGGAGUUGAUGCAGCUUACUUCUAAGUUGAGGGACGGGGAGGCUGGAUGGGUGUUUCUCCAUGUUCUCACUUGUGCAGCGGGCUCUCAGGGAACAAGUUGCUAUUCCUGAAAGGGGAGGGGUUUGG
rnacentral:lncRNA from 1 species